GUGACCAACUGUCAAACAGUCGACUGCUAAAUAUAUAAACAUGAUACUAUAAUCGUGGGUAAUAACUAUAUGCUAUGAUCAUUAGUAGACAUAAACUGUCCAUUAACUCCAUAAUUAUGGUCCGAUAAUCGGAGUAACUACCCCUUAGUACUAUAAAAAAUGGGAUCAUGUGCUUGAUGGUUACACCUGAAUCACCUAUGAAAGGAAGAUAAAUGAAUAGUAUUAGUAAGGCAAUUC
rnacentral:lncRNA from 1 species